ACGAACGCUGGCGGCGUGCUUAACCCAUGCCAGUCGCACGAAGAGCGCCGGAAGCUUGCUUCUAUCAAUCUUAGUGGCGAACGGGUGAGUAACGCGUAAUCAACCUGCCCUUCAGAGGGGGACAACAGUUGGAAACGACUGCUAAUACCGCAUACGAUCUAACCUCGGCAUCGAGGAUAGAUGAAAGGUGGCCUCUACAUGUAAGCUAUCACUGAAGGAGGGGAUUGCGUCUGAUUAGCUAGUUGGGGGGGUAACGGCCCACCAAGGCGAUGAUCAGUAGACGGUCUGAGAGGAUGAACGGCCACAUUGGGACUGAGACACGGCCCAGACUCCUACGGGAGGCAGCAGUGGGGAAUCUUCCGCAAUGGACGGAAGUCUGACGGAGCAACGCCGCGUGAGUGAUGACGGCCUUCGGGUUGUAAAGCUCUGUUAAUCGGGACGAAAGGCCUUCUUGCGAAUAGUGAGAAGGAUUGACGGUACCGGAAUAGAAAGCCACGGCUAACUACGUG
rnacentral:rRNA from 1 species